GUGACCUCAAAUCAGGUAGGACUACCCGCUGAACUUAAGCAUAUCAAUAAGCGGAGGAAAAGAAACUAACAAGGAUUCCCUCAGUAACGGCGAGUGAAGAGGGAAGAGCUCAGUUUUGAAAUCUGGCAGUCAUUCACUGUCCGAGUUGUAAAUUGAAGAGAGUGUCAUCCACACUGAACGUGACUCCCAGUGUUUAUGUGAUGCAUUCUCUCAGAGU
rnacentral:rRNA from 1 species